rnacentral:rRNA from 1 species
AAGUCGUAACAAGGUUUCCGUAGGUGAACCUGCGGAAGGAUCAUUAAAAAUAUCCUUCACCCUGGAUGAAAGUCCGGGUGGACCAGCCUCUUGGGCUCUAAACAUACGUAAUGCCGGUCUGGUCUUCUCGUGAGAUCAUUCUGGUACUCGUUACUUCAAACCAUUGUGAACCUCCUGUUGCUUCGGCGGCAUGCUUCGUGCUGUCAGCCCGUCCGAGGCUCACCGAAACCACUUCUGUAAACUUCUGUCAGUAUACGAAAAGUAAAUCGUUAAAACUUUCAACAACGGAUCUCUUGGUUCUCGCAUCGAUGAAGAACGCAGCGAAACGCGAUAGGUAAUGUGAAUUGCAGAAUUCAGUGAAUCAUCGAAUCUUUGAACGCACAUUGCGCCUCCUGGUAUUCCGGGGGGCAUGUCUGUUUGAGCGUCAGUACCCACUCUUUCGAAAUUAUUUUUUCGUCAGGUCUUGAAGGACACCUGUCCUUUCAAUGUAGACGCUUGCGAACCCGAUACCGAUCAUGACGUAGUAAUUUCAUUUCGUCUUGUCAAGUUGAAGGCCGCCUGAACACCAAACUUUGUAGUUUGACCUCAGAUCAGACAAGGAUACCCGCUGAACUUAAGCAUAUCAAUAAGCGGAGGAAAAGAAACCAACAGGGAUUGCCUCAGUAACGGCGAGUGAAGCGGCAAGAGCUCAAAUUUGAAAUCUGAUACCUUCGGUGUCCGAGUUGUAAUUUGAAGAGGAGUCUUCGGUUUGGGUCGUGGCCUAUGUUCCUUGGAACAGGACGUCGUAGAGGGUGAGAAUCCCGUACACGGCUGACGAUCUCUUACCAUGUGAAGUUCCUUCGAAGAGUCGAGUUGUUUGGGAAUGCAGCUCUAAAUGGGUGGUAAAUUUCAUCUAAAGCUAAAUACCGGCGAGAGACCGAUAGCGCACAAGUAGAGUGAUCGAAAGAUGAAAAGCACUUUGAAAAGAGAGUUAAACAGUACGUGAAAUUGUUGAAAGGGAAGCGCUUGCAAUCAGACUUGCCUUUGGUCGAUCAACGUUCCUUCUGGUUCGUGCACUCGGCCUUUGGCAGGCCAGCAUCGGUUCAGACGGUGGGAUAAAGGCUUCGGGAAUGUGGCUCUCUUCGGGGAGUGUUAUAGCCCGAGGUGCAAUGCCGCCUGACUGGACCGAGGACCGCGCUUCGGCUAGGAUGCUGGCGUAAUGGUUGUAAGCGAC